AGCAGUAGCCGCGGGAAUACGUAGGUGGCAAGCGUUGUCCGGAAUUAUUGGGCGUAAAGGGCUCGCAGGCGGUUUCUUAAGUCUGAUGUGAAAGCCCCCGGCUCAACCGGGGAGGGUCAUUGUAAACUGGGAAACUUGAGUGCAGAAGAGGAGAGUGGAAUUCCACGUGCAGCGGUGAAAUGCGUAGAGAUGUGGAGGAACACCAGUGGCGAAGGCGACUCUCUGGUCUGUAACUGACGCUGAGGAGCGAAAGCGUGGGGAGCGAACAGGAUUAGAUACCCCCGUAGUCCCUGUCUCUUAUAC
rnacentral:rRNA from 1 species